rnacentral:rRNA from 1 species
UACGGAGGAUGCAAGCGUUAUCCGGAAUGAUUGGGCGUAAAGCGUCCGCAGGUGGCAAUGUAAGUCUGCUGUCAAAGCGUCUGGCUCAACCAGAUAAAGGCAGUGGAAACUACAUAGCUAGAGUAAGGCAGGGGUAGAGGGAAUUCCUGGUGUAGCGGUGAAAUGCGUAGAGAUCAGGAAGAACACCGGCGGCGAAAGCGCUCUGCUGGACCUUAACUGACACUGAGGGACGAAAGCUAGGGGAGCGAAUGGG